AAAUUGAAGAGUUUGAUCAUGGCUCAGAUUGAACGCUGGCGGCAGGCCUAACACAUGCAAGUCGAGCGGUAGCACAGAGAGCUUGCUCUCGGGUGACGAGCGGCGGACGGGUGAGUAAUGUCUGGGAAACUGCCUGAUGGAGGGGGGUAACUACUGGAAACGGUAGCUAAUACCGCAUAACGUCGCAAGACCAAAGUGGGGGACCUUCGGGCCUCAUGCCAUCAGAUGUGCCCAGAUGGGAUUAGCUAGUAGGUGGGGUAACGGCUCACCUAGGCGACGAUCCCUAGCUGGUCUGAG
rnacentral:rRNA from 1 species